UAGGGAAUCUUCCGCAAUGGACGCAAGUCUGACGGAGCAACGCCGCGUGAGUGAAGAAGGUUUUCGGAUCGUAAAGCUCUGUUGCCAGGGAAGAAAGGUGAGGAGAGGAAAUGCUCUUCACGUGACGGUACCUGAGAAGAAAGCCCCGGCUAACUACGUGCCAGCAGCCGCGGUAAUACGUAGGGGGCAAGCGUUGUCCGGAAUUAUUGGGCGUAAAGCGCGCGCAGGCGGUUCAUUUAGUCGGGUGGUUAAGCUCGGGGCUCAACCCCGAGUCACACCGGAAACUGGUGGACUUGAGUGCAGAAGAGGAGAGUGGAAUUCCACGUGUAGCGGUGAAAUGCGUAGAGAUGUGGAGGAACACCAGUGGCGAAGGCGACUCUCUGGUCUGUAACUGACGCUGAGGCGCGAAAGCGUGGGGAGCAAACA
rnacentral:rRNA from 1 species